GGAAUAUAAGAAUUUGUCUCUUAACUUUUAACUAAAAAAGCUAAGAACCGGCUCUUAAAUAAGAUAUUUAAGAGCCGGAUCUUAUGUUUUUUAGUUAAAAGUUAAGAGACGGAUUCUUAUAUUUC
rfam:Brassica rapa chromosome A9, whole genome shotgun sequence.